GUUCUUUGCUGCAUUUGUGAUCCAAAAUGGAUUAUCAGAAUAUGGAAAGCGCAAGCGAAAGCAGCGAUAGUGACGUAGCAGCAGCACCAGCACAUGGUGGAGGAGGAGCAGCAGCAGCACACGGUAGAGGAGGAGCAGCAGCAGCUCACGGUAGAGGAGGAGCAGCAGCAGCACAUGGUAGAGGAGGAGCAGCAGCAGCACACGGUAGAGGAGGAGCAGCAGCAGCACACGGAAGAGGAGGAGCUGCAGCAGCACCAGCUCACGGUAGAGGAGGAGCAGCAGCAGCACACGGUAGAGGAGGAGCAGCAGCAGCACACGGUAGAGGAGGAGCAGCAGCAGCACACGGAAGAGGAGGAGCUGCAGCAGCACCAGCACACGGUAGAGGGGGAGCAGCAGCAGCACACGGUAGAGGAGGAGCAGCAGCACCAGCACACGGAAGAGGAGGAGCAGCAGCAGCACCAGCACACGGUAGAGGAGGGGCAGCAGCAGCACCAGCACACGGUAGAGGGGGAGCUGCAGCAGCACCAGCACACGGAAGAGGAGGAGCAGCAGUAGCACCAGCACACGGUAGAGGAGGGGCAGCAGCAGCACCAGCACACGGUAGAGGGGGAGCUGCAGCAGCAGCACCAGCACACGGUAGAGGGGGAGCUGCAGCAGCAGCACCAGCACAUGGUAGAGGAGGAGCAGCAGCAGCACCAGCACAUGGUAGAGGAGGAGCAGCAGCAGCACCAGCACACGGUAGAGGAGGACAUGGUGGAGGAGGAGCAGCACCUGCGCCGCACUCUCCAUCUAGUUCAGGAUCUGAUAUAUCUUAUGCGCAGCAGGGAGGAGGUUUUGAUCCCGGAUAUGACGCAGGAUAUAGCAGUUCUUCGAGCACCAGAUAAAAGCCGGGAAACAGAGCAUUGUCCAUACCAUAACGACGGCCUCCUACAACAGAAAAGCACAGAACAAAUGCCAAACGUUUCUGAUGUUCCGCAUCGUAUUACUUUAUAUUCUGUUUACAAUAUAUUUGUUGUAAAAAUAUAAAAUGUUCAUAAAUAUUUUCCUAAUA